CCAGACUCCUACGGGAGGCAGCAGUUGGGAAUAUUGGACAAUGGAGGAAACUCUGAUCCAGUGACGCCGCGUGAAGGAAGAAGGUCUUCGGAUUGUAAACUUAUUUUGUCAGGGAAGAAAAAAAUGACUGUACCUGAAGAAAAAGCACCGGCUAACUACGUGCCAGCAGCCGCGGUAAUACGUAGGGUGCAAGCGUUAUCCGGAUUUAUUGGGUUUAAAGGGUGCGUAGGCGGAAUGCCAAGUCAGCGGUAAAAUCGCGGGGCUCAACCUCGCUCCGCCGUUGAAACUGGCGUUCUUGAGUGGGCGAGAAGUAUGCGGAAUGCGUGGUGUAGCGGUGAAAUGCAUAGAUAUCACGCAGAACUCCGAUUGCGAAGGCAGCAUACCGGCGCCCAACUGACGCUGAAGCACGAAAGCGUGGGUAUCGAACAGGAUUAGAUACCCCAGUA
rnacentral:rRNA from 1 species